rnacentral:lncRNA from 1 species
UUUCACGUUUGACGUCAACCACAGGUUGAUUGGUUAUCAUUUCCAACAGAACAAUGCCAAAGCUAUAAAUGUCGCUAGCUUCUGUCAACCUGUUUGAACUGAAGUACCUGCAUUAUUACAACAAACACAGUGACUCGGUUAGUAACAUCUUUAUGGUCCAUUAAAAGUUGUGAGGAAAAUAUUUGUCUUUUUUCUUACUCGCUAUCCACGUAAGGUUCUCUUCCAGGUUUUACAUAAAUCUUAUUUGACGCCUGUGUGUUAGGGUCAGUUGGAAAGGAUCUAGACAUCCCAAAAUCAGCCAAUUUCGCUUCAAAGCUUUCGUCGAGUAGGAUGUUUGUCGGCUUAACGUAUCUGUGAAGCACUCGCAAAUCUCUAUGCAAAUACGCCAGACCUGUAAAUGCACAU